rnacentral:rRNA from 1 species
AUUGAACGCUGGCGGCAUGCCUUACACAUGCAAGUCGAACGAGUGGCGGACGGGUGAGUAAUGUCUGGGAAACUGCCCAGUGGCGGGGGAUAACUACUGGAAACGGUGGCUAAUACCGCAUACCAUCGGAUGUGCCCAUAUGGGAUUAGCUAGUAGGUGGGGUAAUGGCUCACCUAGGCAACGAUCCCUAGCUGGUCUGAGAGGAUGACCAGCCACACUGGGACUGAGACACGGUCCAGACUCCUACGGGAGGCAGCAGUGGGGAAUAUUGGACAAUGGGCGCAAGCCUGAUGCAGCCAUGCCGCGUGUAUGAAGAAGGCCUUCGGGUUGUAAAGUACUUUUAGCGAGGAGGCGUUACCCGCAGAAGAAGCACCGGCUAACUACGUGCCAGCAGCCGCGGUAAUAC